rnacentral:rRNA from 1 species
CGGGGAGCAAGGAAACUAACGAGGAUUUCCCUAGUAACGGCGAGUGAACGGGAACCGAGUCCAGCGCUAAAGCCUGCCAGACUUGCUGUUUGGUUGGGCAAUGUAGCGUAAGGAACCGUGACUAUGUUUAGCGGUCUUGACUGAGAUCCAAGUCUUCCUGACUGAAGCUCCUGGUGUCCAAAGAGAAUGCUAGGUUCGUACGAUCUCGAGUCGCCGAUGGCUGUCGCAAGACGGUCAGUCUAAAUUGCACGGCUUUCUGGAGUCGCGUUGCUUGAGAGUGCAGCGUAAAGUCGGUGAUAAACUCCACCGAAGACUGAAAUAUGAUUGCGAGUCCGAUAGCGAACAAGUACCGUGAGGGAAAGUUGCAAAGAACUUUGAAGAGAGAGUUCAAGAGAACGUGAAACUGUUUACGGAGAAACUGAUAGAGCCACGAAGUAAGACUGAACUGGCGGCAAAUUCAGCGCCCUGGGGCUGGGCACUGUGCCGACAAUGCAUACGGCUGGUUGCGAUAUACUGCGACUCAGUCGGCUGUCGGUACGGUAGCGACGCUUGGAACUAGGGCGUGCAUUUUUGCAAAGUCAGUCRGUGAAAACAUCGCAACCGUUUAGGUGCUGGCAAUGGUAGCGGCCGACAAGAUAGUCGGUGCAGGUUGUGCUUCGGCACCUCGUCUGUCUUUGACAGUGAUCUGUAUCGGCAUUAUAUGUGGCUGUUGCUUUAUUGUGGCCAUGGCACUUGAACGAGGGUUCUUGGCACCGGCAUUCAAUGCGUCAGCAGUGGCUGUGCAGGCAGAGUCGAUGGACUUGGGCUAUUGUAGUUUACUGCGAUGCACUGGAUCGUCUAUUCUGUCUGUUGCGGCCGCUUGUCUCUGACACUCGGUGCAUGAGGUUGGCGAUGAGUAAUCGGUUCUCUAUCAGACCCGUCUUGAAACACGGACCAAGGAGUCUAACGUACGUGCUAGUCGUAGAGUUUUCAAACUCUCAGGCGUAAGGAAACUGAAUGAUUUAGCGCGGCUGCCAGCGAUGGCAGUCUGCGAAGGCACGAUCCGCUGUACCCGGGGUUUCGUUAGCCUCAUAGUGGCAGCGGCGCAGUGCCAGCCUGUCAACUGCGGCAUUGACCAGACUGUUUGACAGAGCUCGAGCACGGGCGUUGGGACCCGAAAGAUGGUGAACUAUGCUUGGACAGGACGAAGCCGGAGGAAACCCCGGUGGAGGUUCGAAGCGGUUCUGACGUGCAAAUCGAUCGUCAGAUCCGAGUAUAGGGGCGAAAGACUAAUCGAACCAUCUAGUAGCUGGUUCCUUCCGAAGUUUCCCUCAGGAUAGCA